rnacentral:lncRNA from 1 species
AUAUGCAUAGAAAAUGUCAUAAAAUCAGAUUUAAUUUACAGUAUAAUUUUUUCUUCAACAACAAGAACAGCAAUUAUUUUAUUUUUUAUUUUAUUUUAUUUUAUUUUAUUUUAUUUUAUUUUAUUUUAUUUAUUUUUUAUUACUAUUGAGUUUUCCAUAAUAAGCCUACCUGUUACAAAGCUUCUUGCAUUAAUGUCAGAGACAGAGGGAUAACACAAAAGAACCAAAUGCCAUUUUGGUAGAUGCAAUUACAGUAAUAGGUGCACCCCAUCUGGGAUAGUUCAAUAGGACAGUAAACUGUAAUGCUCUUGUCUUGGCUUGAAUGAAUGAGCUAAACUUCAAAUAAGUUGAAAGGAGCUUAACAUUUAUUUUUUUUUUUGCAAAUUUUACUAAUGUACAUCACAUGUUAGUCCUAGUGUUAUAAAUAUUUUGAUUAUUUUAUAUUUUGAUUAUAUUUGCUCUUCUUCAUUUUUUCACUGUUCUUAGUAGGUCAUGCUGAUGUCUUCAAAUGCUUUUAGAUAUUCAGUGAUAUAACUAGGUGCUACAAAUGGGUUUCUGUCUCCCAUGUCUCCCAUCUCCUAUGGUUCACAAUUCAACAUUGUCCAGAUGCGGUCUCACUGAAACUGAAGAAAACAGCUUGUGGAGUAAGAUGUUAUUCAAGAGAAGCCAAAAGGGCAGAAUCUGGCCCACCCUUAAUAAUUCAGGGCUAGAGUGUGCCACAAGGAUGCAGCUCAUAUGAAUUAGCAGCAUGUUGUACCAUCCCAGGAAAUGAAGGCAUGUGCACCUUAAUUGCUACUUAUCUUUGAGGUCAGCUGUACUCUGUGGAUAUGUAGUUCUAUCAAU